rfam:Brachypodium distachyon strain Bd21 chromosome 3, whole genome shotgun sequence.
CAGGAUACCCUUUGACUCUCCUUAGUUCAACAAAAUGAACUAAAAUUUUAAAAUAACACAACUUUUUGAAAAACUAGUUCAUUUGUUUGAACUAAGAAGGGUCAAAGGGUCAACAUG